CAUGCAAGUCGAGCGGACAGAAGGGAGCUUGCUCCCGGAUGUUAGCGGCGGACGGGUGAGUAACACGUGGGUAACCUGCCUGUAAGACUGGGAUAACUCCGGGAAACCGGAGCUAAUACCGGAUAGUUCCUUGAACCGCAUGGUUCAAGGAUGAAAGACGGUUUCGGCUGUCACUUACAGAUGGACCCGCGGCGCAUUAGCUAGUUGGUGGGGUAAUGGCUCACCAAGGCGACGAUGCGUAGCCGACCUGAGAGGGUGAUCGGCCACACUGGGACUGAGACACGGCCCAGACUCCUACGGGAGGCAGCAGUAGGGAAUCUUCCGCAAUGGACGAAAGUCUGACGGAGCAACGCCGCGUGAGUGAUGAAGGUUUUCGGAUCGUAAAGCUCUGUUGUUAGGGAAGAACAAGUGCGAGAGUAACUGCUCGCACCUUGACGGUACCUAACCAGAAAGCCACGGCUAACUACGUGCCAGCAGCCGCGGUAAUACGUAGGUGGCAAGCGUUGUCCGGAAUUAUUGGGCGUAAAGGGCUCGCAGGCGGUUUCUUAAGUCUGAUGUGAAAGCCCCCGGCUCAACCGGGGAGGGUCAUUGGAAACUGGGAAACUUGAGUGCAGAAGAGGAGAGUGGAAUUCCACGUGUAGCGGUGAAAUGCGUAGAGAUGUGGAGGAACACCAGUGGCGAAGGCGACUCUCUGGUCUGUAACUGACGCUGAGGAGCGAAAGCGUGGGGAGCGAACAGGAUUAGAUACCCUGGUAGUCCACGCCGUAAACGAUGAGUGCUAAGUGUUAGGGGGUUUCCGCCCCUUAGUGCUGCAGCUAACGCAUUAAGCACUCCGCCUGGGGAGUACGGUCGCAAGACUGAAACUCAAAGGAAUUGACGGGGGCCCGCACAAGCGGUGGAGCAUGUGGUUUAAUUCGAAGCAACGCGAAGAACCUUACCAGGUCUUGACAUCCUCUGACAACCCUAGAGAUAGGGCUUUCCCUUCGGGGACAGAGUGACAGGUGGUGCAUGGUUGUCGUCAGCUCGUGUCGUGAGAUGUUGGGUUAAGUCCCGCAACGAGCGCAACCCUUGAUCUUAGUUGCCAGCAUUUAGUUGGGCACUCUAAGGUGACUGCCGGUGACAACCGGAGGAAGGUGGGGAUGACGUCAAUCAUCAUGCCCUUAUGACUGGGCUACGUGCUA
rnacentral:rRNA from 1 species